rnacentral:rRNA from 1 species
AUUGAACGCUGGCGGCAGGCCUAACACAUGCAAGUCGAGCGGAUGAAGGGAGCUUGCUCCUGGAUUCAGCGGCGGACGGGUGAGUAAUGCCUAGGAAUCUGCCUGGUAGUGGGGGAUAACGUCCGGAAACGGGCGCUAAUACCGCAUACGUCCUGAGGGAGAAAGUGGGGGAUCUUCGGACCUCACGCUAUCAGAUGAGCCUAGGUCGGAUUAGCUAGUUGGUGGGGUAAAGGCCUACCAAGGCGACGAUCCGUAACUGGUCUGAGAGGAUGAUCAGUCACCCUGGAACUGAGACACGGUCCAGACUCCUACGGGAGGCAGCAGUGGGGAAUAUUGGACAAUGGGCGAAAGCCUGAUCCAGCCAUGCCGCGUGUGUGAAGAAGGUCUUCGGAUUGUAAAGCACUUUAAGUUGGGAGGGAGGGCAGUAAGUUAAUACCUUGCUGUUUUGACGUUACCAACAGAAUAAGCACCGGCUAACUUCGUG